GAUGAACGCUGGCGGCGUGCCUAGUACAUGCAAGUCGAGCGAACAGACGAGGAGCUUGCUCCUCUGACGUUAGCGGCGGACGGGUGAGUAACACGUGGAUAACCUACCUAUAAGACUGGGAUAACUUCGGGAAACCGGAGCUAAUACCGGAUAAUAUAUUGAACCGCAUGGUUCAAUAGUGAAAGACGGUUUUGCUGUCACUUAUAGAUGGAUCCGCGCCGCAUUAGCUAGUUGGUAAGGUAACGGCUUACCAAGGCAACGAUGCGUAGCCGACCUGAGAGGGUGAUCGGCCACACUGGAACUGAGACACGGUCUAGACUCCUACGGGAGGCAGCAGUAGGGAAUCUUCCGCAAUGGGCGAAAGCCUGACGGAGCAACGCCGCGUGAGUGAUGAAGGUCUUCGGAUCGUAAAACUCUGUUAUUAGGGAAGAACAAAUGUGUAAGUAACUAUGCACGUCUUGACGGUACCUAAUCAGAAAGCCACGGCUAACUACGUG
rnacentral:rRNA from 1 species